AUACGUAGGUGACAAGCGUUAUCCGGAUUUACUGGGCGUAAAGGGCGUGUAGGCGGUCUUGCAAGUCAGAAGUGAAAUUCCUGAGCUCAACUCGGGCGCUGCUUCUGAAACUGCAGGACUUGAGUGCUGGAGGGGAUAGCGGAAUUCCUAGUGGAGCGGUAAAAUGCGCAGAUAUUAGGAAGAACACCGGUGGCGAAGGCGGCUAUCUGGACAGUAACUGACGCUGAGGCGCGAAAGCGUGGGGAGCAAGCAGGAUUAGACACCCUGUUAGUCCACGCCGUAAACGAUGAAUACUAGGUGUAGGGGGUAUCGACUCCCUCUGUGCCGCAGUUAACACAAUAAGUAUUCCGCCUGGGGAGUACGGCCGCAAGGUUGAAACUUAAAGGAAUUGACGGGG
rnacentral:rRNA from 1 species